CAUUUGCCUUUUGUGAUACGCUUUCAAAGAGUCAGGUUGUUUGGGAAUGCAGCCUAAAUUGGGUGGUAAAUCUCACCUAAAGCUAAAUAUUGGCGAGAAACCGAUAGCGAACAAGUACCGUGAGGGAAAGAUGAAAAGAACUUUGAAAAGAGAGUUAAACAGUAUGUGAAAUUGUUAAAAGGGAACCGUUUGGAGCCAGACUGGCUUGUCUGUAAUCAAUCUAGGCUUCGGCCUGGAUGCACUUGCAGGCUAUGCCUGCCAACGACAAUUUGACUUGAGGGAAAAAACUAAGGGAAAUGUGGCCCACUUGUGGGUGUUAUAGUCCCUUAGAAAAUACCUUGGGUUGGAUUGAGGAACGCAGCGAAUGCUUUUUGGCGAGUUUUCCAGGAAGGUUUUCUGAGGUACUACGGUAUCAAGGUGAUCU
rnacentral:rRNA from 2 species